GCAAGUCGAGGGGUAGCAGGGAGCUUGCUCCGCUGACGACCGGCGCACGGGUGCGUAACGCGUAUAGAACCUACCUUUUACAGGGGAAUAGCCCAGAGAAAUUUGGAUUAAUGCCCCAUGGUAUUAUUGAAUGGCAUCAUUUAAUAAUUAAACAUUUAUGGGUAAAAGAUGGCUAUGCGUUCUAUUAGCUAGAUGGUAAGGUAACGGCUUACCAUGGCGACGAUAGAUAGGGGUCCUGAGAGGGAGAUC
rnacentral:rRNA from 1 species